UUCAGAUGAAUCUUAAGAUAGUGUUUGUCUUGUUCAUCUGCCUUUGUAUCGUGCAUGCUCACUAUGGGCGGUAUGGAAACCAAAGGAGACGCAGAUAUCGUGUGCCUGUCAGAAGAUACGGGGUGAGGAGAUACGGUGUGAGAAGGUACGGACACCGUCGCUGCUGUCACAGAUAUGUCUUCAGACGAUUCAGGAUCUGCCCGAGACCGCAUAGACGAUAUGGGGGUCGCAGAUAUGGACGUAGACGUUGCAGGACCCGUGUCAGAACUACUCGUGCUGUCAUAUAUACUACCAGGCCUACGACAAAGACUACAACAACGACUAUCAAGCCUGUUCCGACCACCACAACUACCACGCUUAGACCGAAUACAACUACCACCACUACCACACCCAAACCAACUACCACGACCACUACGCUUAGACCAUAUACAACUACCACCUCUACGACCACCCCCAAACCAACUACCAC